UUGGAAACGCAGCGAAGAAGAAAUUGCACCGCCUUGAAUCACAACGAAGAACAAAACGCUCCAUUGGCCAAGUGCCUUGCCAUUGUCCAAUAGAUAUGGUUGGUACAAAGCGACGAGAUAACCUACGAAGGGGGUUGAAGCAACAAACGGAAAGGAGAGGUGGGGGGGGGAUUAAAUUUCAUGUGUGUGUCAGCAGUUAACCGCAACCCAGAUUAGGGUUAAGGGGAAUUCGUUUGGGACCCUCUAGAUGAUUUUGGUGUAGUGUUUGUCGAAAGGGGAUCUCGUCCAUGGGUGUGUGUAUUGUUCGUCAUCCGAGUUCCUAAAUUGACAGUGUGUGCAUUGUGAAACUCAUCCUGUUGGAUUUUAGAAAAUCUUACUUUUGCAGUAUCAAUAUUGUUUCUUUACAUCCUUCAUAGUUGUUCCAUUGAAUAAUGCAUGCUUUUGCCUAAUUGAAUUUUGAAAUUGCAUUUUCUUUUUUGGUAUUCCACAUGGACAUUUAAUUUUGAAAUUGUAGUUGGCAAUUUUUUUUGGCAAGCUUAGAGUUUGACUUACUUAAGAUGUGCUUUUUGUGGCAAUAACAUACUUAUUUAUAUGAAUGUUAUUAUUGGGUUUGAGUCAGGAGUGUGUAUUUGAUGAUUACUGAUUUAUGUGUAGUGUUUGUGCGAACUAAGUAGUAGGGCGCUGUCUGUAAGUAGGUUGGGUAUGCACAGUGCACAAGGCAAUCACACAUGAUGCACACGGGGAUACCAUUAGCGGAAGAAACGAAUAGGCGAUGUUUGUAAGUAGGUUGGGUAUGCACAAUGCACAAGGUAAUCCCACAUGAUGCACACGAGGAUACCAUUAGCGACAGAAACGAACAGGUAUGUUCAUCUAUAAUAUGUGGUGUGUUCACAUGUUUACACCGACAACUUAGAGUGUGGAGUUGUUUACCUUGUAAGCACAAUUUUUUGUUUUACUUUUGUCCACAUGUUUCAUUGUUUGUGACAAUUUAUGUGCAGUGUUUGUGCUAAGUAGAAAUGCGUUGUUUAUAAGUAGGUUGGCUAUGUACUGUGCACAAGGUAAUUCCACGUGGUGCACACGGGGAUACCAUGUAGUUAGGUUAGCAAAACAGAAAAACAUGUAUGUACAUCUAUAAUAUAUGGUGUAUGCACUUGUUUACAACAGUUCA